UACGUAGGGUGCGAGCGUUGUCCGGAAUUAUUGGGCGUAAAGAGCUUGUAGGCGGUUUGUCGCGUCUGCCGUGAAAGCCCAGGGCUUAACCCUGGGUCUGCGGUGGGUACGGGCAGACUAGAGUGUGGUAGGGGAGACUGGAAUUCCUGGUGUAGCGGUGAAAUGCGCAGAUAUCAGGAGGAACACCGGUGGCGAAGGCGGGUCUCUGGGCCGUAACUGACGCUGAGGAGCGAAAGCGUGGGGAGCGAACAGG
rnacentral:rRNA from 1 species